rnacentral:rRNA from 1 species
AUUGAACGCUGGCGGCAUGCCUUACACAUGCAAGUCGAACGGUAACAGGUCUUCGGAUGCUGACGAGUGGCGAACGGGUGAGUAAUGCAUCGGAACGUGCCCAGUAGUGGGGGAUAGCCCGGCGAAAGCCGGAUUAAUACCGCAUACGACCUGAGGGUGAAAGGGGGGGAUCGCAAGACCUCUCGUUAUUGGAGCGGCCGAUGUCAGAUUAGCUAGUUGGUGGGGUAAAGGCCUACCAAGGCAACGAUCUGUAGUUGGUCUGAGAGGACGACCAGCCACACUGGGACUGAGACACGGCCCAGACUCCUACGGGAGGCAGCAGUGGGGAAUUUUGGACAAUGGGCGCAAGCCUGAUCCAGCAAUGCCGCGUGCAGGAAGAAGGCCUUCGGGUUGUAAACUGCUUUUGUCAGGGAAGAAAUCUUCUGGGUUAAUACCUCAGGAGGAUGACGGUACCUGAAGAAUAAGCACCGGCUAACUACGUGCCAGCCGCCGCGGUAAAAC